UAGGAGAAUGGACACUUGCUUGGGGCUGGUUACCCGUGUGGUCCUUGGAUUUAGGAAAAUUGGUGCCGUUGACAUGGAAGGAUUUUGUGAGAGGUCGUAUUUUGGGCCUCACGAGACACCUCCGUGAGCCCAUGUAACGUUGUACGUUUUUAUGCUCUAAUUUCUUUGAAUCUAUAGAUACUUACGAGUAUAUCGAGUUGAAGUUCUAUAAAAUACUCGUCUUUAUAUUGGAACGCGCCGCACGCCCGAACUCACGUCUCGGAAACCGGUUCCGUUGGCCGAACCCCUUCCACCGUUCGAACUGCGAGCGACGCGUCACGCGAGUCACCGAUGCCAGUGCGACCGGGGAAAGGAUUAUUACCGACCUACCGCGAACAGCUGAGCGCGUACUCUCGAGUUCUAUUUUUUCACAGUGAGGCCCUAAUACCGGCCACUUAAAAUAUAAAACUUUAAAUAUAUCUACUAAUUAAAUUCAGUGAACCCCAUAUCGGGGUUCAAGUUCAAGUCCAAGUUGAGUCUCCAGCUUCAAGCCUCAAGUUCCAGCUCAAGUACUUGUAAGCCACCGAGGCUGCGUUUUCUACUCUUCUUCUUCUUCUUCCUCUUCGUUCCUGCCUAAUGUCCUUGACGCCGUCAUCUAUCGACCGUCAGGAUUAGAAACGUUCCUGCCGAAGACCUUGCCUGCCCUUGAGUCUCCGUCGGUCAGCUGCUACCCGGGAAGGAGACCGCGGACCCCUACACAUCCGGAUACUGAGGCAGGAUAGUGGUGUUUCUCUUGCGACCUUCAAUUCCUCGCGCGCUCGAUAUUUUAAAACCACCCCCAGCUCAACCGACUAUUUGUUUUUUUUUUUAAGAAUAAAUUGUUAAUCUAAUUGUAACCAUUUUUUUCUCACAAGCCUAUCUGCCUAGAACCUACGCUACACCCACUAUUCGUUUAAAUCGUGGGUUUCGUCAUAUUGGGUAUCAUUUGUGCUCGUGGAUGGUUGUGGUUCCGGAUUAUAAUAGUCAUCUUCACUGGUUACACAAUUAACCCGAGCAGGUUUAUAGUUCUCCUGAUAAGGUUGCUUUUGAUAUUUGGGAGAUGGAUUAGCCUUGAACCGAUUAUUGUUGUACUCGCGUUUUCUACAUGUUUCAAUGGUAUGACCUUGAUUUUUACAAUACCUACAGAAUAGAUUUUUAUUAUCUCGGUCAUAUUGUUUAGCCAUUUGCGGCUUAGAAUUGACAUCAUGGUUUGAAGGACGGGAAGGAUAUUGGGGUUUAGAAGCAAUACGAUGUAAUGUUGAACUUUGGGGAUUACGCUUAUUAUACGAAUUUAGGAUCUUCUCCUCUGAGACGGCAAAAUUGAUUGCAUCGUUGAGAGUGGAUGGGUUUCUACUGCGGACUAGAUUAGAAAUUUCGGGCUUAAGGCCAAUUAAAAACGUGUGGAGUGCUAAGUCUUCCAUAGCCGCUAUACGACCCACUAAUUUGCUUUUCUUUUUAUUAGAUAAUGUUACUUCUGUUAAGAGCUUCAAAAGGCAAGUUUCGAGGCGUAAUGCGAAUUGGUUAACCGGUUCAUUUAGUUGUUGGCAUUCCCGUAAUUCAGUCAUUAGAUGGGCAUAGUGUUUUCUUUCACCGAACUGUGUUUUAAGGAAACUAUUUAAUUGGUCCCAAGAGUCGAAUUCUUUAAUGGAGCAAGCUACUUCGGCUUUGCCUUCUAAUUGUGAUAAUAUGUAUUUAAAUAAUAUUGGUUUUUGGGUAUCAGAAGCUAAAUCAAUUGCGUUGUCACAGUUAGUUAGAAAUGAAUUCAAUUUUUCACGUGUGCCAUCGAAUGUUUUUAUAAAUUUAAAUAGAGUUCCAAUUUGAAUAUUUUCAUUUUUUUCUGGUUUAAGAGACAUUUUAUUAAACAAAUUUUAUAACGCGUCCACUAAAGAUGUAGUUCGGUGUAAUAGACAGCAACUGUAAUGUGAGGUUUAGAUAAGAGCGAGUGCGGUAUCGAAUGUCUUGAUAGUGAUAAUUCCGAGUAAUGGUUAACAAUAACAGUGAGAGAUUUAGAAUAUAAAGUUUGCAAACAAAAAAUAAAUUAGAAUUAGUAACGCGCAUAAGAAAAUAAACCUUUAUGUUUAGUUCACUGGAUUUACGCACUUUCACGCACUUGUUUUCGAAUUGUUUGAGAUGAGUUGCACUUUCGCUGGGAAAUAUAAUGUUUUCAAGACUUACAGGAACACGUAGAAAAUGUACUGGAACAUGACCACUUCUUUGGUCUGUUGAGGUUGAAGAGGCUUUCCCUCUCAGGAAUCAGGCACGAAACAGGAACACAAUCACAAUACCCACGGGAAAAGUUAUUCAGAUUUUAGGAUGUCCGAAAAUAGAUAUGAAUAUUGAAUUUUUUUUUUUGAGUUCGAGUUAAUUUUGGCACUUCGACACUUUUAUGCUUUAAAAUAGUUUAGAAUAUGAGUCCAGAAGGAGACGUCCCAGGGAUACCUUCACCAUCGGUAUCCCACCGCUGCCACCAAAUUGUUAUGAGGAUUCCCGAAUUUCGGUUUUUAAAAAA